CUGGGCCUCACAUCCAUUUCCAACGUUUCCAGCAAAAUCUGGGGCACAAACUCUGUGCAGGCAGGAGCAGGCAGGCAGCACCCCGGGGCGGCGUGGGCUGCAUUUCCUGUGCCCGUGGCCGGCUCUGUGCUCACCAUCUGCACAGUUCCGUGCUGCUCUGGGCUCCUGCUGCUGGCUCGGAUCCCCCCUCACCCCGCACACACCAUGCUCGCUCACAGCACUCCUCCACGACUCGUCCUGCUCCCGCCCACGGCCGUGAAACCGGGGCUGGGGACCUGAGGAGGGUCAGCCGGCCGUGAGCAGGGCUCCACCCCCGCAGCCUCCAGCCCAGGCCCCACCGAGAGAGCCUCACGGAGGAAGGUCAAGGGCAAUGUGCACGCGGGCCUGUGACCUCCUGGAGCACACACCACUGGCGCCUUUCUGGACCAGCCCUACGUGCAGGACCCGACAGCCAGGCUCGGGGGGCCGUGCCCGGAACCUAAUCUGGAAUCCCCAGGCGGCCGGGGCCCAGACGGGGCUUUGUGCUGGGCUACUCGAGCGGAAAUCGCGCUCAGCCCGGUGCGAUCCUAUGAGGGAGCGAGAAGUUGAUGAAAAGCGGUUCUUUCCUGCUCUCCCUGCCCGCCUUUGGGGCGCGGCGUUUGCGCGUAGAAAUCCGGGCCUUCUUAGCAGGGCAGCGCAGAGAAACCGGGUCGUGUCUCCCUGAGAAGCCGUGCACGAAUCAUCGCGUCCGGGCACGGGCCCUGAUUGGGCUCCUUGAGGCUGAACCCCACGUCCUUAACCCUUCCUCAGCCCGGUCCCUGUGGUUUCAGAGGCUCUUUGAGGAUCAGAGAAAGAAAGAGCUGCUGAAAGAACAAAGAAACUCCCGGGAAGGAAUUGCACUCAAUGUUGUUGUCAGCUGCGGGAGGCAAGGGGUCGGGGAACAGCUGCGGAGGCGCCACAGCGGAGGGCGUGCGAGGUCGCCGACACCCGUGGCCGAGCUAGGUGGCCGCGUCCUUCAAAGGCACAGAGCUGCCUCCUGCCCCGUCAUCACCCACUUCCUCCUUGACCGUCAGCUGGAGCCCCACCUGCAGACUGAUAUCAGCCAGCGUCGCAGGGGUCGUCCACGCAGAUUUCUGGAUUUUUCUCAGGUUUCCUGGAUUCUUCUCUCCUUCUUGUUGACUCGGGCUCCCGUCUGGCAAAGCUUCCCAUCAGGGGCGCCCGUGCCCGGCGAGAGGACAGAGCGUGGCUGCGAUGCGGACCAGCCACACCAAGUGGGGCACCCGAGGCGGAGAGCCGACCGACGGGGUUCGGUCCCCCUGCUGGGGCUCCUGGGGGGGUGGUGGCGGGGACUACAGACGUAA
ensembl:lncRNA